GAAGAAACUCGGUGAAUCGGACGAGGAGGAAGACAGUGCUGCCGCCUGGGUGGAGAAAUCGCGCAAGAAUCAGAUACAGAAGGACAUGGCAGCGAAGAGGGCGCGGUUACUGGAGGAGAUGGACGAGGAAUUUGGCGUGUCGGAGCUCGUGGAGACAGAGUUUCGUGGAGACAAGGAGAAGCUGCGAGACAAGGCGUACACGUCGCGUGACA